GAAGAGAAGAAAAGAGGAAUUGAUGGGAGAGGAAAAAGAGGGAAGAGAAAUAUAGAUAAAUGAAAUAGUGGUAUCCUCUCUUCUAUCUGGUUCUUUUUUUCUU
rnacentral:ribozyme from 14 species